UCUUGUGGCAUUUAUGUGCCAUUAACAUGACUUCUCAAGUUUAUGUGAGUUUUACAGGCCAUGCAUGUUGUCUGUUUAAGCGUGGGUUGGGGUCAAGUUUUCUGUUUAAAAAUACGAUCAUUAGUGAGUCUCAUGCUGCUGGGUUUUUGGGUUGUCAGGUCCUGUUGACCGUUGCUUCAGUUAUUGGGAUCAUUGUCUGCAGACUUUCAGUGUUCAUUGUAUUUUCUGCAAAACUUUCCAAGAACCUGAAUGGAAGAGACCCAAUCCAGAAUUACCUGACUGCAGGUGGGCCACGCCCAUCACUGCUUCUCUCAUCAGCGUUAUCAUCAUCGUGACACUGAACGCCAUAUAAGAGAAAGUGGCAAUCAUGAUGACUGACUCUGCUGCAGAGCUCCCAAGGACCAGACUGACUAUGAGAACAAUCUAGCCAUGAAGUUGUUCUUGUUCCAGUUUGUCAACUACUACUCCUCGUGUUUCUACAUCACAUUCUUUAAGGGCAGAUUUGUGACUUAUCCUGGAGAUCUGGUGUAUUGGCUGUGAAAAUACAGAAAUGAAGACGUGUGAAUACAGCUUUGUGUUCUGACAGUCUAACCUGUUUCAGGUUUUCUCUUAGUUGCCCAAUGAAGAGUGUCUUUACUCUCUGUUCCUUAGACAUUUUUAGGCAUAUAAUAAUGACUUUAUUUCAUUUUAGAGCUACCUAAAAUUUAAAUGAGAUUUUCUUUCUAAUAUUCCAGUGUGACCCAGGUGGCUGUCUCCUUGAACUCAUGACACAGCUGACAAUAAUCAUGGGAGGACAGUCCAUCUGGAAUAACAUACAAGAGGUUUUACUUCCGUGCUUCUCAUGUGCAAAUUGAUAUCCCUGCACAAGAACCAUAUCCCAACAGAAAACCCAAAAGACCGAGGACAAUGAUGGGUAGACGACCGCCCAAGUUUUCUGCCACAGAAGCGUGGUUCCACUCAGGAAGACUGGGCAAGCGGCUCAGAGCCUUAGCUAAGGACAAGCCAGUCGGGACUUCUAAUACGACCCAAUGCCAUCGACGGGGGAGGGCAGGUCAGCACAAGAAGGGAGCGCCAGUUGCGUUAACAUGGAAGUUUCAUCCUGGAUCCAAACUGUGUUGGAUUUGGGUCCCGGAGGGUAAAAGCCCUGCUUCCCUGGGGCAUGGACCGGAUUCCACAGGAGGCUGAGACACGAAGUAUGAGGCAGAGAAAAAUUCCCCCAGGAGACUCCCGAGUCUGGGUACCAGGGAGGGUGAUGGACGAGCGCGGUCCCAGCGCCACCCGCACCACAGGGCUCCGAGGGGCUGUGGAGCUGCGCGCUCCCGGCUGGACCUCAGACCUGACUGCAGCGCUCCGGGCUGCGGCCUUGGGAGCGGCUUCAGCAGCAGGCUGUCCCCGUCAAUCUCGUAGGUGCUGCAGUGACCCCCACCCCUGUGGCCACGGCGUUCCCAAGCCAAGGGUCUUAGUGACUUCAACCCUAUUUCCAGGUGACCACAGCUGGUUAGCCUGUGCUGUUCAAAAGGAAGAUCCCACAUGGGGUUUUGAUGUGUUAGGGGGGUUUCUGAUACCUGGCCUGCUUUGAAUCGUUUCAUCCUGACAGCAGCCUGGGCAGUGGAAGUUUCAUCUCCCAAUUUUAUUUCAACGUCUUUUGUUGAAAGUAUAGUUGGUUUACAAUAUUGUGUUAAUUCUUGGUGUACAGCAUAGUGAUUCAGUUAUACAUACAUAUAUAUAUAUAUUCCUUGUCAUAUUCUUUUUCACUAUAGGCUAUUAAAAGUUACUGAAUGUAGUUCCCUGUGCUAUACAGUAGGAUCUUGUUGUUUGAUGCAAAAAUUACUAAACAAAGUAUUUGCAGACUAAACCUAGCCAUGUGUAUGACAGAGUUGUGUUUAUCUCAGGAUUUAAAUGUGGUUUUGAUCUCCAGGAUCUCUUUAUCAACUUAUCAUAAGUAAAGAACCUGUGGACCACUUUUCAGACAAAUGUUUUAAAAUCAUAAGAUUUAGAGAAUAAAGAAAGAAGAUAAUUAUACUGAAAAGCCGAUAUCAACAUAUAGAAAUGGGCAUUUGUGAUACAGUAAUAUCUGAAUUAU